AUGGGGGCUAGCGGCGGUUUACUCCUUUUUUGGCAUAAUCCCGUUGUGAUUAACAUAAAGGAUAAGACAAAUAAUUUCAUUGAUGCAGUGGUGGGAGGGGCACCGGAAGAGCAAUGGAGACUCACGGGAUUCUACGGUGAACCCAGGUGGGAAAAUAAACACUUGUCAUGGAGCUGCUUACGUGGUCUACAUCAACAGAACCAAAUCCCAUGGGUGGUUGUGGGAGAUUUCAAAGAGAUUUUAUACUCGCACGAGAAGGAGGGUGCACCGAGGCCAGUUAGUAUGAUGCAAAACUUCAGGGAUGCACUAGUGGAUUGUGAACUUGAGGACAUGGGUUUUGUUGGCGAGCAAUUCACGUGGAGAAGACGCAGACUACGGGAACGCUUGGACAAAGCUGUAUGCAAUAGAGCUUUCCUUGGCUUGUUCCCUGCUGUUGUAGUCACAAAUGCAGCCCACACAAAAUCAGAUCACCAGCCGGUGGUGAUCGACUUGGAAGGUGCAGCAGGAAUGGACCAGCAGACUUGUUCGAGACCAAAACAGUUCAAAGCUCGCUGGUUACAGGAGGAGGAGAUGCUGCAGAGGGUCACGAAGGCUUGGGAGAGGACAUGCAUGUCUGAUUGUCUGGCACGUCGCACAACGGUGGUCCACCAGGACCUGCAUAAAUGGGAUCAGGAAGUCCUGAAAGCACCUCAGCAUCGCUUGAAGGAACUAAAGGAGGAGUUGGAAUCGUCGCGAUCGGGGCCGCUCACUGACGAGUCGACAGAUAGGUAG
rnacentral:rRNA from 1 species